CCAUGUACAAUGGAGAAUCGCAUGUAUUCCAAGAAAUUGCACUAUUUAACGGUUUUUCACCGUGAAAUUCGUUUUCGGGGCUGUUCCAAUCGAGGAUGCCCGAAAAUGAAUUUGUUGCAGAAUCGGAGCUAUCGUAAGCCGCAUUGAACGUUUUGAUAAAAUAAAAUUGGAAUGCUCUACACGAUUACUUCUGUCUUACCCAUUCUGAGACGACGUCUGGAUGUUAAAAUGGAACGUACAUCUCGCUCCUCAUCUGUGAGAUCUUCAGAAAGUGUAUUCAGAUCGAUAGUUUGAAUCUCUCUCUGUAUACGCUGUAUACAUUCUGCUCCUAAAAUUAUAUAUCGUCGAA